UCACCUUAUUUCUCUUAUCUAUAGAAUGGUUUUUGGUUAUUUCACAUCAACAUUUCUUGUCAUAGUUGCGGUAGGAUUUCAGAGAAACCUAUCAGAGACCACCUGGAAUCUACACUGAACCGGCAUUUGGGCCCAUUGAGCCCCUCUGGAUCACUGCAUUCUUCAGGUGACCCUGAGAGCUCCCAGACCUUAAGGAUCAUGGACUAUAACCUGGAGAAUUAUUUAUCAGAAGAGGCAUCAAAUAAAAGACUCUUUGCAGCCCUGUUGGAAAGGACCAUACCAGUCCUCAGAGCUAUGAAGAAUGAGCCUGCUCUUCCAUGAGACCACACUCCCAGUAACAGCGCUUAUAGCUGUGGAAGGUUGAACCGGUGUCCCCUCC